UCCCAAUUGGAAGGGCCGUGGGAGACGACCACGUGGAUAGGCGGCAGGUGAAAAACCAGAAAUGGAACAGCCGAGCCGUACUAAUGGCCCGAGGGCUUCGCAGA
rfam:Hymenobacter sp. CCM 8649 NODE_34_length_39654_cov_262.307_ID_67, whole genome shotgun sequence.